CCCGCACGGACACCCAGCGCUUUCCCAUCCCAUGUUCCCCAACAUUCACCUUACUCCAUGGGAUGCGGAGAUGUCAGGGCACGUGAAAGGCCGUGGUGCUGGUGUGCAGGGCUGGAGAUGCUGCCCAGCACAUGGCUGGGAGUGUCCUCAUGUCCUCGGUGGGCUCCAGGGAUGUGGGUAGCAGGAGAUCCAUGGUUGGCUCCCAGCCCAGGCACCUACCGGCACCUCUCCAUCUGCACAUGCUGGGUCAUUGCACAUCUGAUCCCGGCUUUCCACAUGGCCACAUGCCCACUCCCAGGAGCUGCCCCAUCCACAGUCCUGCCCACUGAGAGCUGCCACAGCUCACCCAGCAGUGAUGGCCCCACUCAUUCCCCACCACCAGGACCAGCAUGGAGGCGGCCGAGGCCCUGUACAACCAGCUGGAGGAAGCGCUUCAUGACCUGGUGUUCCAGUCCAACAGCUCCCUGGAGCGCCUGGAGUUCCUCCGGAAGGUGCGGGAGCUGGAGGCUGAGUUCAGCAAGCUGGGGCUGUGGCUGGAUGGGGAGGCAGCAGCACGGCUGCAGGAGAUGGGUGCUGAGGAGUGGAACCCCGAGAGCUUCCUGGGGUCUGACGAGCAGUUCAACCAGUUCCUCGCCCAGGCAACAGUAUGUUGGAGAGGGCUCUUCUGUAACACGUGUCCCUGGGGCAGCUCCAGGCCCUGCCUGGCACUGGGCAGACACUCAAAUCACCGAAUCAGAAUCAUUUGAAUGUCGUUACAAAGCUUGAUAGGAUGAGCCCAAACCCUCAGCUGUGGCCAUCCAGGCUGUGCCCAGGCUGGCCGGGUGGAGGUCAAGCUGCAGUCUUCAGGCCCCGCUUUGCCAGGGUCUUUGGGCAGCCUUGUUCCAGUAAGAGGGCAGCUGUGUGGCUCCUUGGUGCGCUUGGCACUGUCCAUGCCAUGCUCUGUUCUUCACAGCCCCCUUCGUCUCGCAGAGCCUGGAUGUCCAUCAGACAGCUGGUAAUGUGGUGACAGGCGUUUGUUCAUCCCAGAGGCCACUGGCUGCAUGCACCACAGGGAGGACAGGGCUAUGCACGUGGUGCAUUCGGAGGCGAGCAGAGCUCAGGCUCAAGGACAGAGCACAGAGCUCCGCUCAGGACAG
rnacentral:lncRNA from 14 species